rnacentral:rRNA from 1 species
UACAGAGGUCUCAAGCGUUGUUCGGAUUCAUUGGGCGUAAAGGGUGUGCAGGCGGGCUGUUAAGUGGUGUAUGAAAUAUCCCGGCUCAACCGGGAGAGGUUAUGCCAGACUGGCAGUCUAGAGAGCGAGAGAGGGACGUGGAAUUCCGGGUGUAGUGGUGAAAUGCGUAGAGAUCCGGAGGAACCCCAGAGGCGAAGGCGGCGUCCUGGCUCGCAUCUGACGCUCAGACACGACAGCAUGGGGAGCGAACGGG